GACGGAGGGUGCUAGCGUUGUUCGGAAUGACUGGGCGUAAAGGGCGCGUAGGCGGCUCGUGAAGUCGGGUGUGAAAGCCCGGGGCUCAACCCCGGAACGGCAUCCGAUCACUGGCGGGCUUGAGACCGGGAGAGGAGGGUGGAAUACCCAGUGUAGAGGUGAAAUUCGUAGAUAUUGGGUGGAACACCGGUGGCGAAAGCGGCUCUCUGGCCCGGAUCUGACGCUGAGGCGCGAAAGCGUGGGGAGCAAACGGG
rnacentral:rRNA from 1 species